rnacentral:misc_RNA from 1 species
AAGUCGUAACAAGGUUUCCGUAGGUGAACCUGCGGAAGGAUCAUUAACAAAUUCUAAACACCUGUGUUCCUCAAGUUGCUGCUGCUUCUGCCUGCUGCCAAUUAGCCUCGCAAGGGGUUACUGGUUCUGUUGGUGGUUGUGGUAGUAGGUUGAGGGGUCACUAAAACAUACACUUUGAUUGACAACACCUAGUGAUCUAGAUAUUAAUUGUAGACAACUUUUAACAAUGGAUCUCUUGGCUCUU